rnacentral:rRNA from 1 species
CCUACGGGUGGCAGCAGUGGGGGAUAUUGCACAAUGGGGGGAACCCUGAUGCAGCGACGCCGCGUGGGUGAAGAAGCGCCUCGGCGCGUAAAGCCCUGUCAGCAGGGAAGAAAAUGACGGUACCUGAAUAAGAAGCCCCGGCUAACUACGUGCCAGCAGCCGCGGUAAUACGUAGGGGGCAAGCGUUAUCCGGAUUUACUGGGUGUAAAGGGGGCGCAGACGGCGAUGCAAGCCAGGAGUGAAAGCCCGGGGCCCAACCCCGGGACUGCUCUGGAAACUGCGUGGCUGGAGUGCAGGAGGGGCAGGCGGAAUUCCUGGUGUAGCGGUGAAAUGCGUAGAUAUCAGGAGGAACACCAGUGGCGAAGGCGGCUUACUGGACUGCAACUGACGUUGAGGCCCGAAAGCGUGGGGAGCAAACAGGAUUAGAUACCCGUGUAGUC